AAAGCAAGCCGACUGUCGCUCCUGAUUCAUUUUGGGGGAGGAAAGUCCGGGCAGCGUAGAGCAACCGUGCUUCCUAACAGGAAGGAUUCGUUAGCCGAAAGGUUGACGGGUACAGAAAGUGCAGCAGAAAACAAACCGCCCUGGCUUGCUUGCAACGUCAGGGUAAGGGUGAAAAGGUGAGGUAAGAGCUCACCGUUCCGGUGGUGACAUUCGGAAGCUAGGUAAACCUCACGGGCUGAAAGAUCAUGUAAACCAGGCGAGUAGGGCUGCUCGUUCUCUUUUCGUAUGUCUCGGCAUACGGGAUGCUUGGGGGGUGGAUCGAUAGAUGCUGAUGGCGACGUCAGUACCAGAUAAAUGACAGUCAGUUUCGGAGAUGGAUUCUCCGGAAUGUACAGAACCCGGCUUAUGGCUUGCUUUUUUG
rnacentral:RNase_P_RNA from 1 species